GUGACGCUUGAGAAGGAGGUGUUCUGUUGCCACAUUUCCUCUUCUUCAACUUAGAGCAUAUCCUUGACACCCUGGGUAAUGGACGCUUACUUGGCAAAGCCAUUUCCAUCCUUUGUGGCUUUACAGUAGCAGUACACGGGUUGAGUCAAGUCCUUUCCUUUUAAAAUGCCGGGCUGUUAGCCCGUUUUGGCUGGGUGAAGACUCAGAAUGUUCUAUUUGCCUUGGCCUUGGUUUCCAUUGACUGGCAGCAUGAGUCAAAGAACUGAAGAAGAUAAAAGAAUUAAGCGAAUGCUUAAAGCCAACCGCCAAUUUAUGACAAAUUUACUGACCUCCUCAAAGAAGACGUCGAGUUCCUUCAACUCCGUACAAAGAUCAGCCAGUGGAGAGCAAAUCAAUUUGAUCCUGGAUUUGCUUCAUUUAGUGGCUGUCGGGAAAAUACCAGUGAAAAAAAAACACUUCCAAUUGUUUGUAAAAGCCAACAUAGCCCUGCAUUUUCAUGAACGUUUGAAUAAUCCAUCAAGCCAAUACGCACUGAAAGACGCCUCCCUAUUGGAUAAAAUUCAAUUUUUAAGGGCAUUGAGAGUACAUUUGCCCAAAUUACUCCAUCAGGUUUUCUUUCGGGUGUAAUGGAAGCCAAAAUGCUGAUAUCUUGUGCCGAAUACUUUCACUUGAAGAAGGACUUGAAGAGAUUCAUCAGAAGUGUCAAAGGAAGAUUGAAGAUCAAAAAAACAGUAACCAAGAUAUUUAUUGGGCUAAAGAAGGCGUGAAGAAGGAGCCGUUAGUUGAAGAAUCUUCUCAAACAGAGGAUUCAAAUAUCCCACCCAGGCAACAAGACAGUAGUCUUUCCCAAAUCGAACUUAGUGCUUCAACACCAAAUUAUUGGAAGGCCGAUAUUGACACUGACACUUCUGAUGAUGAUAACUAUUUUUGUUUUGAAAAAAGAAAAAAAACGACCUAAGAAUUAAGUGAGAUUGAAUACAUCUUGCAACAUUUACUAAAUAUUAUCUUUUCCAGUGGGAGUCCUACUUGUCAGCUGUUGAAGAAUAAUGGUUGACCGUCAGAUUCAAAUUAAUUCCGAAAGUGCCCCCCAGCAAAUUCGCGUUAGUCCUAAUUUUGGGAAAAUCAAUCUGUCAGCCAGAAUGUACAUAAGGUAGAGCAUCCAAAAUAUUGUUAGUGAAGAAAAAGAUAUCCUUGAUGCUUGAACUUUUUUUAGCGGACCGUCAAUGAGUGGAAAGAGCAAACUUGUGUUGGAUAUGCUUCAGCAUCGCGAUGAAGUAUUUCCAGGUUCUUUUUCUCGAGCUAUUUAUUUUGGCCCAUCUGCUCACGACUUCUAAUUUACAUCGCUUUUGGUUCAAGCCUUCCCUUCCAUUGAACGUCAUGAUCGGGUUGUGAGGCCAGAAGAUUUGGACCUAUACGCAGAAAAAUCCAGUCAAAAGCUUUUGAUGUUAGACGAUUUUGGAAAUGAUGCCAUGGAAAGAAAAGAAUUCAAGGCAUUAUUCGAAAUGGGAUCACACCAUUACAACAUUUCAGUCAUUGUCGUAGUGCAAAAUUUCUAUUCAACAGCAAGACAUCACACCACAAUUCUCCGCAACAUGUCUAAUAUCAUCAUUUUUAACCAUCGUGGCUCUAGUUCAGUCAUGAGAAUGAUUAGUUCAAACUU